rnacentral:rRNA from 1 species
CGCUGAGUUUGAUCCUGGCUCAGAUUGAACGCUGGCGGAAUGCUUUACACAUGCAAGUCGAACGGUAGAGGGGGCAACCCCUCGAGAGUGGCGAACGGGUGAGUAAUAUAUCGGAACGUGCCCAGUCGUGGGGGAUAACGUAGUGAAAAUUACGCUAAUACCGCAUACGAUCUAAGGAUGAAAGCGGGGAUCGCAAGACCUCGCGCGAUUGGAGCGGCCGAUAUCAGAUUAGGUAGUUGGUGGGUAAAGGCUCACCAAGCCAACGAUCUGUAGCUGGUCUGAGAGGACGACCAGCCACACUGGAACUGAGACACGGUCCAGACUCCGUACGGGAGGCAGCAGUGGGGAAUUUUGGACAAUGGGCGAAAGCCUGAUCCAGCCCAUUCCCGCGUGCAGGA